rnacentral:rRNA from 1 species
UACAGAGGUGGCAAGCGUUGUUCGGAAUUACUGGGCGUAAAGGGCGCGUAGGCGGCCUUCUAAGUCGAACGUGAAAUCCCCGGGCUCAACCCGGGAACUGCGUCCGAGACUGGAAGGCUUGAAUCCGGGAGAGGGAUGCGGAAUUCCAGGUGUAGGCGGUGAAAUGCGUAGAUAUCUGGAGGAACACCGGUGGCGAAGGCGGCAUCCUGGACCGGUAUUGACGCUGAGGCGCGAAAGCCAGGGGAGCAAGCGGG